AACGAACGCUGGCGGCAUGCCUAACACAUGCAAGUCGAACGAGACCUUCGGGUCUAGUGGCGCACGGGUGCGUAACGCGUUGGAACCUGCCCUUAGGGUCGGGAUAACUCCCCGAAAGGGGUGCUAAUACCGGAUAAUGUCUUCGGACCAAAGAUUUAUCGCCCUUGGAUGGGCCCGCGUUGGAUUAGCUAGUUGGUAGGGUAAAAGCCUACCAAGGCGACGAUCCAUAGCUGGUCUGAGAGGAUGAUCAGCCACACUGGGACUGAGACACGGCCCAGACUCCUACGGGAGGCAGCAGUGGGGAAUAUUGGACAAUGGGCGAAAGCCUGAUCCAGCAAUGCCGCGUGAGUGAUGAAGGCCUUAGGGUUGUAAAGCUCUUUUACCCGGGAUGAUAAUGACAGUACCGGGAGAAUAAGCUCCGGCUAACUCCGUG
rnacentral:rRNA from 1 species